rnacentral:rRNA from 1 species
CUUGGUCAUUUAGAGGAAGUAAAAGUCGUAACAAGGUUUCCGUAGGUGAACCUGCGGAAGGAUCAUUACAGAGUUCCUGCCCUCGCGGGUAGAAACCCCACCCUUGCGUAUUAUAUCUUUGUUGCUUUGGCAGGCCGCCUUCGGGCACCGGCACACGCUGGAUCGCGCCUGCCAGAGGACCCCAAAUUCUGAAUGUUAGUGCCGUCUGAGUACUAUAUAAUAGUUAAAACUUUCAACAACGGAUCUCUUGGUUCUGGCAUCGAUGAAGAACGCAGCGAAAUGCGAUAAGUAAUGUGAAUUGCAGAAUUUAGUGAAUCAUCGAAUCUUUGAACGCACAUUGCGCCCCUUGGUAUUCCGAGGGGCAUGCCUGUUCGAGCGUCAUUUCAACCCUCAAGCUCUGCUUGGUCUUGGGCCCUGCCGGCAACGGCUGGCCUCAAAAGUAGUGGCGGUGCCAUCGUGCUCUCAGCGUAGUAAUUCUUCUCGCUGUUGGGUCCCGGUGGACGCUGGCCAGCAACCCCCCAUUUCUAAUGUUGACCUCGGAUCAGGUAGGGAUACCCGCUGAACUUAAGCAUAUCAAUAAGCGGAGGA